rnacentral:rRNA from 1 species
AGCGGCGGACGGCUGAGUAACACGUAGGAACAUACCCCAGAGUGAGGGAUAAGCACCGGAAACGGUGUCUAAUACCGCAUAACCUCUUCGGAGAAAAGCUUCGGCGCUUUGGGAAUGGCCUGCGCAUGAUUAGCUUGUUGGUGAGGUAAAAGCUCACCAAGGCGACGAUCAUUAGCUGGUCUGAGAGGAUGAUCAGCCAGACUGGGACUGAGAACGGCCCAGACUCCUACGGGAGGCAGCAGUAGGGAAUUUUCCACAAUGGGGGCAACCCUGAUGGAGCAACGCCGCGUGCAGGAUGAAGGGUUUCGGCUCGUAAACUGCUUUUAUCUGUGACGAAUAUGACGGUAGCAGAUGAAUAAGGAUCGGCUAACUCCGUGCCAGCAGCCGCGGUCAUACGGAGGAUCCAAGCGUUAUCCGGAAUUACUGGGCGUAAAGAGUUGCGUAGGUGGCAGAGUAAGUGAAUAGUGAGAGCGUUCGGCUCAACCGAAUAUCCAUUAUUUAAACUGCUCAGCUAGAGGAUGAGAGAGGUUAUUGGAAUUCCUAGUGUAGGAGUGAAAUCCGUAGAUAUUAGGAGGAACACCGAUGGCGUAGGCAGAUAACUGGCUCAUUCCUGACACUAAGGCACGAAAGCAUGGGUAGCAAACGGGAUUAGAUACCCCGGUAGUCCAUGCCGU